UGUCCAGUAGCACCUUAGAGACCAAGUAAGUUUGUUCUUGGUAUAAGCUUUCGUGUGCAGAAGCACACGAAAGCUUAUACCAAGAACAAACUUAGCUGGUCUCUAAGGUGCUACUGGACA